ensembl:lncRNA
AGACAUCUUCAUCCCAUCUUCCAAAGAAGGAGAGGGAGGGAGAAGGAAGAGGACAGAAGAGAAAAAAAUAAAAGUAGACUGGAAAAGUCACUGCUGAAUUCUGUGGGAAGAAGAAAAGAAGCAAGCCAAUGAAAAAAGUAUCGUUAGAGGCAUGGAAAUCAGCUCAACUAAAAUGCAAACAGUUUUUGGUCAAAAUGAUUACAUUUUGCAUCCUUUACAAAAACAAAUAAAAACAAACAACAACAACAACAAAAAUACCCUUGGGUUUCGUUAAGUUAUUCUUAGGCUGCACAUGCUGUACAUGCUGCUGUAAGAGAUUAUUCUUUUAUAUCACUGUUUGUUUGCUGAGGAACAAGUCCAGGCAAGUCCUGGGCAAAGGUAGAGAAACCUUCUGUCUGGAGGACACUGAUGGAGAGGUCCUGGGUAAAGGGUUGUGAAAUCCUCUAAUGAGCACAGAUGGACAAGGCCAGGGGCAAUGAGAGAGGGAUAAGCUGCUGAUAAUGGCCGGGAAAUGGUCUUUUGUGUGGACUUAUCUCGAGGAAGAUGGCCAUCUCAGGAGGUACGCACGUGGCUCUUGCUCAAGCACCCAGGGAUGUCACGUAGGCAGGAAAAAAGGAGGAUAAAAGAGGGUUCAACAACCAUGAGGAUAGGUUUCUGCUAUCAGAUCCCUCACUACGGACUGCAUGCUGAUGGACUUCCCUGGGCCUGCUACCUGAGACCUGCUGCUUCCUCCCGGAUUUACUCUGUGGCUUCUUCCUGGACCCACCCGGUACCUGCACCCUCUCACUGCCCAAGACCGGCCUCGCUGCUCCUGCCCUUCAGCCUCGGAUUGUCAGACGUCAUGCAACGGGACUUCUGCCGGAUCCUGGUGGUGACUAUCCCCGCUUUACACAAUUCUUACUUCUUCCUAUCUUUUCUAUCGCUCGCCUUCCUUUCCCCAUCACCCUAAUCUGUAAUAGUGUCCGUCCUCCCCUUUCUUCGUCUCCGUUAUUAGCAUUUGUAAUAAACUGGUUGGACCAACAUUUGAACUGUUGUUUCUUAAUCUCACGCCGAGCGUACAUAUUUCAAAGACCUCCU